rnacentral:rRNA from 1 species
AGCAGCCGCGGUAAUUCCAGCUCCAAUAGCGUAUAUUAAAGUUGUUGCAGUUAAAAAGCUCGUAGUUGAAUUUCGAGACCGGUUUAUUGGUCGUGCUUUUGUACGUACUGGUAUAAUCGGUUUCUCUCUUCUGACGAACUAUAAUGCCAUUAAUUUGGUGUUAUGGGAAAUCAGGACUGUUACUUUGAAAAAAUUAGAGUGUUUAAAGCAGGCUCACGCUUGAAUACAUUAGCAUGGAAUAACGGAAUAGGACGUUUGAUUCUAUUUUGUUGGUUUCUAGGAUCGACGUAAUGAUUAAUAGGGAUAGUUGGGGGCAUUAGUAUUCAAUUGUCAGAGGUGAAAUUCUUGGAUUUAUUGAAGACUAACUACUGCGAAAGCAUUUGCCAAGGAUGUUUUCAUUAAUCAAGAACGAAAGUUAGGGGAUCGAAGACGAUCAGAUACCGUCGUAGUCUUAACCAUAAACUAUGCCGACUAGGGAUCGGAUGAUGUUAAUUUUUAAUGACUCAUUCGGCACCUUACGG